rnacentral:lncRNA from 1 species
GAUUAUGUGGAAAAGCCUAAGUUUGGGGUUUCAUCAAAAUUUUGGGACACCGAUGAAAAGUAGAUAAGUGCAGAAAAAUGAGAAAAGUAUGAAACUUCAAAGAAAAAAAAGAGAAAUGAAAAAAAAAAUAUUAUGAGAAGUAUCAUGAAGCACUUAUCUAGAGGAAUUGAGAUUGGCAAAAAGUACGCUCAAAAGAGCAAAAACAAGAAAAAAUAUGAGCCAAUGAAUCCCAACAAGAACGGUUCCCAAAAGAAAUACCCCGUGAUUAAAAGAUUGAACACAAUUACGAGGGUAGCAAAACGAACUCUGAGCCUGAACCCCUAGUAUUUCCCUUUUUGUUUUGUUAAGUUUCC